rfam:Microgenomates bacterium GW2011_GWA2_46_16 TX37_C0027, whole genome shotgun sequence.
GAUGCGGUAGCCGAGCGGUCAGGCGCUUGUUUGCAAAAUAAGAGAUGAAGGUUCGACUCCUUCCCGCAUCU